rnacentral:rRNA from 1 species
CAGGCCUAACACAUGCAAGUCGAACGUGAAGCCGCCCUUCGGGGCGGUGGAAAGUGGCGCACGGGCGAGUAACGCGUGGGAACCAACCCUGAGGUACGGAAUAACAGCUGGAAACGGCUGCUAAUACCGUAUGUGCCCUACGGGGGAAAGAUUUAUCGCCUUGGGACGGGCCCGCGUCGGAUUAGCUUGUUGGUGGGGUAACGGCCCACCAAGGCCCCGAUCCGUAGCUGGUCUGAGAGGAUGAUCAGCCACACUGGAACUGAGACACGGUCAGACUCCUACGGGAGGCAGCAGUGGGGAAUAUUGCGCAAUGGGGGAAACCCUGACGCAGCCAUGCCGCGUGAGUGAAGAAGGUCUUCGGAUUGUAAAGCUCUUUCAACGGAGAAGAUGAUGACGGUACCCGUAGAAGAAGCCCCGGCUAACUUCGUGCCAGCAGCCGCGGUAAUACGAAGGGGGCAAGCGUUGUUCGGAAUUACUGGGCGUAAAGGGCGUGUAGGCGGUGCGAUCAGUCAGAGGUGAAAGCCCCGGGCUCAACCUGGGAAUUGCCUUUGAUACUGUCGCACUAGAGUUCGGGAGAGGGUAGUGGA